CAUGUCUAUUUGUAGUUAUAAAUAGUCCAAUCUGCCCACUGAUAAUUUUAUUAAAGGGCCGCAGUAUUCUAACUGUGCAAAGGUAGCAUAAUCGUUAGUUCUUUAAUUGAGAUCUUGUAUGAAUGAUUAGACAAAAGGAUUACUGUCUUUAUGAUAAAAAUUAAAUUUAACUUUUAAGUGAAAAGGCUUAAAUUAUUUAGAGUGACGAUAAGACCCUAUAAAGCUUAAUAUUUUAUAAAAAUGUAAAUAAUAUAUAACUAAUAAAAUUUUAAAUAUUAUAAGUAUUUUAUUGGGGUGAUAGAAGUAAAAUUAAUAAUAACUGCUUUGUGUUUAGACAAUUAUAAUUGGUUUUUAUAAUAAAUGAUCCUAUAAUAUAGAAUAUAAGAUUAAGUUACUUUAGGGAUAACAGCGUUAUUUUUUUUGAGAGUUCUUAUCGAAAAAAGAGAUUGCGACCUCGAUGUUGAAUUAAAAUAUCUAUACAAUUGUAGGAGUUGUAUUAGAAGGUCUGUUCGACCUUUAAAUUUUUACGUGAUUUGAGUUCAGACCGGUUUAAACCAGGUCGGUUUCUAUCUUCUGAGUUUAUAUUAAUUGCUUUA
rnacentral:rRNA from 1 species